ACGAAGGGGGCUAGCGUUGCUCGGAAUGACUGGGCGUAAAGGGCGCGUAGGCGGUUUAUUUAGUUAGGCGUGAAAUUCCUGGGCUCAACCUGGGGACUGCGUUUAAUACAGGUAGACUUGAGUGUGGAAGAGGGUUGUGGAAUUCCCAGUGUAGAGGUGAAAUUCGUAGAUAUUGGGAAGAACACCGGUGGCGAAGGCGGCAACCUGGUCCAUUACUGACGCUGAGGCGCGAAAGCGUGGGGAGCAAACAGGAUUAGAUACCCUGGUAGUCCACGCUGUAAACGAUGUGUGCUGGAUGUUGGGUGACCUAGUCACUCAGUGUCGUAGCUAACGCGAUAAGCACACCGCCUGGGGAGUACGGCCGCAAGGUUG
rnacentral:rRNA from 1 species